GGGUAAAUUAAAACAACUCGUAAUGGAUAUUUUUAAAGAUACUGGUCUGUUAUAUACACCGGAAAAUUGGAAAAGCUCUUUAUUCUCAAAAUUUAAGACAAUCGAAAAGAAAAUAAUUGUUUGGCAUUUAAACUGACGUAUAUUAUUUUUUAUACACUUGCUUUACUUUUAACGAGUGUUAUGAAUCUUUCUGAUAGUGUUUAUGAUAAAUCGGCAAGAAUAAUUCAAAAAGCUUAUCGUCAAUAUGUAACUGCUAGAGAAAAAUGUGAAUUAGACAAAAAUGGAAACCAAAGUUCUAGGUUUGAAAAUCAAACGAAUACUUCUGGGCAAUACAGCACACCUUCAAAAGUUUAUUUCGAUAGAAACGAAAAUAAAAAUUGCUCCUUAAACUUCUACAGUUCUAAGUGAGAUAUGAAACUGUAUGUAAUUUAAUUUAAAUUAUGAAAUAUGUACAACAUGCGCUCUUGUUUCAAUGUUUAGCUAAUUGAAAUACUGUGUGUACCUCUACUUGUAGUUAUAAUGCAAACAAAACAGUUAUUGAUUACUUAGAUUUGUGUCAGUUACACCUGAACACUUCAGGUAAACGAAACGUAUUAAGUAGAAGUUUCUUAAUCCAAAACGCGUGUACUAUUUUAAUAGUUAAAAAACGAGCUAAAACUAAUUUAAAAAAAUUAAAAGUUGGCUAUUUAUGACAUUAAAUAAUCAAAGUUCUAAUGGAUCAGUCUAUUGAAGAAAAAUCUGCAAGAAUAAUACAAAAUGUAUUCCGAAAUUAUCAAAAAAAGAAAAAAGUUUUUGAGAACAUCGACCGAAUAGACGAAAGUAGUAAUAUAUCUAGAAGUAUUAAGUCAGACUUAAAAUCCACAUUGGAACUUUUACAUGAGUAUAGAUCAAAACGAAAAGAACACUUUUCAGAAAGUCAAAUAAAAAAUUUAAUAAAUGGUGUAGAGCAAAUAGUUUCUUCUAUUAAAUCAUACCAAGCUCUUUGGUUUUCAUCUGAAAAUCAAACUGAUAACGCAGAAAGUAUUUAUGAACAAGAUAUUACAACACAAGCUAAAAAACGCCAUGAAGAAUUCUUAAAUUCAAAUAAGAAGAAAUGGUGGUAUUCGUUUAAUAAGCAAUUGCGAUGAAAAUUAUAUUUCUAUUAAUAAAUGAAAUUUUAUUGGACUACGAACCUUUAACAUUUGAGUGAACCUUUUAGAGCAUUUAAAAAUUUUUAGGAUAACUUAAUGUUUAAAAAACUUUUGCUAUAUGGUGUAUACAGGGACAUCUACCGACAACUGGUAAAAAAUGAAAAUAAGAUUAUUAGC